rnacentral:rRNA from 1 species
CGGUGUUUAACUGGCGUGAUGUGGGACGUCCUACCGGUGGGCUUAGCCUCGCGAGGGGCGGCCCAACUAAUAUCCCGUCGCGGUGCUCUUUACUGAGUGUCGAGUCGGGCCGGUACGUUUACUUUGAACAAAUUAGAGUGCUUAAAGCAGGCUAUCCUCGCCUGAAUACUGCGUGCAUGGAAUAAUGGAAUAGGACCUCGGUUCUAUUUUGUUGGUUUUCGGAACCCCGAGGUAAUGAUUAAUAGGGACAGAUGGGGGCAUUCGUAUUGCGACGUUAGAGGUGAAGUUCUUGGAUCGUCGCAAGACGGACAGAAGCGAAAGCAUUUGCCAAAAAUGUUUUCAUUAAUCAAGAACGAAAGUUAGAGGUUCGAAGGCGAUCAGAUACCGCCCUAGUUCUAACCAUAAACGAUGCCAGCUAGCGAUCCGCCGAAGUUCCUCCGAUGACUCGGCGGGCAGCUUCCGGGAAACCAAAGCUUUUGGGUUCCGGGGGAAGUAUGGUUGCAAAGCUGAAACUUAAAGGAAUUGACGGAAGGGCACCACCAGGAGUGGAGCCUGCGGCUUAAUUUGACUCAACACGGGAAACCUCACCAGGCCCAGACACCGGAAGGAUUGACAGAUUGAUAGCUCUUUCUUGAUUCGGUGGGUGGUGGUGCAUGGCCGUUCUUAGUUGGUGGAGCGAUUUGUCUGGUUAAUUCCGAUAACGAACGAGACUCUACCCUGCUAAAUAGGCGUACCUUAUGGUAUCGCGAAGGCCCCCGGCUUCGGCCGGUGGGUUUUUACUACCAACGUACAAACAAAUCUUCUUAGAGGGACAGGCGG